rnacentral:lncRNA from 1 species
AGAUGGUAUAUAAAGACAAAAUAUAGUCACUAAUAUAAUAUUUUAAUGUAACAUUUUCUCCUUUGAUCCUGGGAUUCUCAAACCACAGGAUCACUUAUUUAAAAGUUUAUCUAUUGAGAAUUUCUGACUAGUAUGGUAAUUUACCUUAAAGGGUAUCAAAGGGAUGAAAUUAGAGGCACAAAAACUCAUAAUCUUAUAGAUCUCUUAAGGAGACAAAACUUGUUAAAUGGGAUUCAGACCAAACUAUUUAGUGAGCUCUCUAUAAACUAAUUUGAAAGGGGAGAUUUAUAUAUCACCAAGGUAGCUAAGAAAACUUAGCAAGCAUAAAUACCAUGAAAGAAAAAGUCAAACUAAUACAAUAAUGAUCACCUUUAUAAAUCACAUUAUCUCCUUGUAACUUGGUAACCCAAUCCCAAUCUCCAUUUAAUCAGCAUAUUUCACUUUGAGUCUCAGAUGUCCCUGGUCCUUGGAAACAUCUCCUCUUGGAUACUCUGGAAUAUAUUUCAUUCUUAGGGCAGCUUUGAAGACCUAGCCCUUUUGGUACUCUCAUCAGAGACCGCUCACCUUUCAGGAGAUCCAUUUGGAUAUGAUUCAGGAGGAUUUGGAGGUCCUGGGACAGGAGAUUCAAAUCUUUCACUGAGGAAUUCAAUUGAUAGAACUGAAGUCCUACAAUGUUCCUUUGGAAAAGACCAGUGGUUACACAGAGACACUUGUAGUCUCAAUUCUGCUAUUAGUGGAAUAAAGAACACUGAGCAGUUACUUCCAGAUAAUUUGUUUAGCAAUAUAAGUGGUUGCAGAAAUAAACUGGGAUCCAGGCUCUCAAUAGCCAAGGUUGCAGAACCUUGGGUUUCAAAAAAGUUAAUAUGCAAUUGAGAGGGAGUGAAAAGAGGAAAAAUAGUAUGAUGAGGAUUGAGACAUCUGGUUUCUCAUUGGUGGAGGGGAUUGGGAGACAGGAAAGGAGAAUUUUGUGACAUUCUUUAAAUUGAGUGAUUUUUGGAAGGAGAAGUAAUCUUGUGACUUCUCCAAAAUCAG